UGGAGGAAAGCAGGGGAUCGCAAGACCUUGCGCUUUUGGAGCGGCCGAUGUCUGAUUAGCUAGUUGGUAGGGUAAAGGCUUACCAAGGCAACGAUCAGUAGUUGGUCUGAGAGGACGACCAGCCACACUGGGACUGAGACACGGCCCAGACUCCUACGGGAGGCAGCAGUGGGGAAUUUUGGACAAUGGGCGAAAGCCUGAUCCAGCCAUGCCGCGUGAGUGAAGAAGGCCCUCGGGCUGUAAAGCUCUUUCAGUCGAGAAGAAAAAAUUGCGACUAAUAAUCGCAAUUCAUGACGGUAUCGACAGAAGAAGCACCGGCUAACUACGUGCCAGCAGCCGCGGUAAUACGUAGGGUGCAAGCGUUAAUCGGAAUUACUGGGCGUAAAGGGUGCGCAGGCGCCUUGUAAGUCAGAUGGGA
rnacentral:rRNA from 1 species